rnacentral:rRNA from 1 species
UACGGAGGGUGCAAGCGUUAUCCGGAUUCACUGGGCUUAAAGGGUGCGUAGGCGGGUAGGUAAGUCAGUGGUGAAAUCUUCGAGCUUAACUCGGAAACUGCCUUUGAUACUAUCUAUCUUGAAUAUUGUGGAGGUAAGCGGAAUAUGUCAUGUAGCGGUGAAAUGCUUAGAUAUGACAUAGAACACCUAUUGCGAAGGCAGCUUACUACGCAUAUAUUGACGCUGAGGCACGAAAGCGUGGGGAUCAAACAGG